CAGUUCGGAUCGCAGGCUGCAACCCGCCUGCGUGAAGUUGGAAUCGCUAGUAAUCGCGGAUCAGCAUGCCGCGGUGAAUACGUUCCCGGGCCUUGUACACACCGCCCGUCACACCAUGAGAGUCGGGAACACCCGAAGUCCGUAGCCUAACCGCAAGGGGGCGCGGCCGAAGGUGGGUUCGAUAAUUGGGGUGAAGUCGUAACAAGGUAAC
rnacentral:rRNA from 1 species